AUUGAACGCUGGCGGCAGGCCUAACACAUGCAAGUCGAGCGGAUGAAGGGAGCUUGCUCCUGGAUUCAGCGGCGGACGGGUGAGUAAUGCCUAGGAAUCUGCCUGGUAGUGGGGGAUAACGUCCGGAAACGGGCGCUAAUACCGCAUACGUCCUGAGGGAGAAAGUGGGGGAUCUUCGGACCUCACGCUAUCAGAUGAGCCUAGGUCGGAUUAGCUAGUUGGUGGGGUAAAGGCCUGCCAAGGCGACGAUCCGUAACUGGUCUGAGAGGAUGAUCAGUCACACUGGAACUGAGACACGGUCCAGACUCCUACGGGAGGCAGCAGUGGGGAAUAUUGGACAAUGGGCGAAAGCCUGAUCCAGCCAUGCCGCGUGUGUGAAGAAGAUCUUCGGAUUGUAAAGCACUUUAAGUUGGGAGGAAGGGCAGUAAGUUAAUACCUUGCUGUUUUGACGUUACCAACAGAAUAAGCACCGGCUAACUUCGUG
rnacentral:rRNA from 1 species